rnacentral:rRNA from 1 species
AGAGUUUGAUCCUGGCUCAGGAUGAACGCUAGCGGCGUGCCUAAUGCAUGCAAGUCGAACGGUAGCUCUUGGAUUCGUCUAGGGGUUAUAGUGGCGAACGGGUGAGUAACACGUUGGUGACCUGCCCCAGAGAGGGGAAUAACCAUUGGAAACGAUGGCUAAUACCCCGGAUGUUAUUAUCGUUAGAGAGUAAUAACUGAAGCUCCGGCGCUCUGGGAGGGGCCUGCGGCCCAUCAGCUAGUUGGUAAGGUAACGGCUUACCAAGGCUAAGACGGGUAGGGGGCGUGAGAGCGUGACCCCCCACACUGGUACUGACACACGGACCAGAUACCUACGGGUAGCAGCAGCAAGGAAUAUUGCGCAAUGGACGAAAGUCUGACGCAGCAACGCCGCGUGAAGGAUGAAGGCCUUCGGGUUGUAAACUUCUUUUCUGGGGGAUGAGAAAGGACAGUACCCCAGGAAUAAGUCUCGGCUAACUACGUGCCAGCAGCCGCGGUAAAACGUAGGAGGCGAGCGUUAUCCGGAUUUACUGGGCGUAAAGCGCAUGCAGGCUGUUUCUUAAGUCGGACGUGAAAGCUCCUGGCUCAACUGGGAGAGGUCGUUCGAAACUGGGAAACUUGAGGAUGGUAGAGGAGAGUGGAAUUCCCGGUGUAGUGGUGAAAUGCGUAGAUAUCGGGAGGAACACCAGUGGCGAAGGCGGCUCUCUGGGCCAUUCCUGACGCUAAGAUGCGAAAGCUAGGGGAGAGAACGGGAUUAGAAACCCCGGUAUUCCUAGCCGUAAACGAUGUCAACUAGGUGUAGGAGGUAACCAAUCCUUCUGUGCUGCAGCUAACGCGUUAAGUUGACCGCCUGGGGACUACGGCCGCAAGGCUAAAACUCAAAGGAAUUGACGG